UUGCCCAGUCUCCCCACUAAUUUAUCCCUCUAAUCACUCCCCCAUCAUCUCUUUCUUCUCUGUUUCCUCGGACGCACCUCCGCCGAGCUCGCCGUCCACCCACACCACUCCCCGUCAUCUUGGAUUGAACGCCAGCCACCAAAGCAUAUCAUAAUCCCCUCGCUCCUCCCUCACCACGCCGCCCAGAUCCGCGAUGGCGCUCCUCCCUAAUCCAUCUUCCUCAUCUCCGGUGCGGCCCCGGGGCGACAUUACAGGUGCUCCAUCCCGACCUUAGGGGGCCGAGCCUCCCAUCUCCAUCUCGAUUGGGGCUUCGGCUGCCGGUGUAGCUAUCCAUCUUCAUCAUCCCCGAAGGAUAACCAGCAGUUUACAUCCCUCUGUUUCCCCCCUCUUCGAAGUGCCUCUCCUCAGAAUGGAAGACAUUUUGCUACACGCAAUUCCAGCUAUGCUUCUCUGCUGUAUAACGCCCAAAAUGUUCGAGUGUUCUAUGAGCUACUCUAAGUUGUCGGUUGUACUAUGCAUGACGGAGAGCUCAUGGCGCACGCUGAUCUUGUCCAUGUCCAGCUUGUCGAGCUGCUGCCACUAUGACGGAUAUGAAAAACUGAAAUGUUUGGUUGUAAUACGAUUCUACUUUUGUUGUAAAAAAUGAAGGAAAUAUGCCCUAGAGGCAAUAAUAAAGUUGUUAUUUAUAUUUCCUUAUAUCAUGAUAAAUGUUUAUUAUUCA